GGAGGGUGCGAGCGUUGCUCGGAAUUACUGGGCGUAAAGCGUACGCAGGCUGUUCUGUAAGUCGGGUGUGAAAGCCCGGGGCUCAACCCCGGAAUUGCGCCCGAGACUGCAGGGCUUGAAUGCGGGAGAGGGAAGCGGAAUUCCUGGUGUAGAGGUGAAAUUCGUAGAUAUCAGGAGGAACACCGGUGGCGAAAGCGGCUUCCUGGCCCGACAUUGACGCUCAUGUACGAGAGCGUGGGGAGCAAACAGGAUUAGAUACCCUGGUAGUCCACGCUGUAAACGAUGAGUGCUAGCUGCUGGGAAUGUCUACCGUCUCAGUGGCGAAGCUAACGCAUUAAGCACUCCGCCUGGGAAGUACGGCCGCAAGGCUA
rnacentral:rRNA from 1 species